rnacentral:rRNA from 1 species
UACGUAGGUGGCAAGCGUUGUCCGGAUUUACUGGGCGUAAAGAGCGCGCAGGCGGUUGGAUAAGUCGAAUGUGAAAGCCCCCGGCUCAACUGGGGAGGGUCAUUCGAUACUGUCCGACUCGAAGGCAGGAGAGGGAAGCGGAAUUCCCGGUGUAGUGGUGAAAUGCGUAGAUAUCGGGAGGAACACCGAGUGGCGAAGGCGGCUCGCUGGGCCACACCGUGACGCUGAGACGCGAAAGCUGAGGGGAGCCAAACAGGGG